GACGAACGCUGGCGGCGUGCUUAACACAUGCAAGUCGAACGGAAAGGCCCCCUUGUGGGGUACUCGAGUGGCGAACGGGUGAGUAACACGUGAGUAACCUACCCUUGACUUUGGGAUAACUUCAGGAAACUGGGGCUAAUACCGGAUAGGAGCUCCUGCUGCAUGGUGGGGGUUGGAAAGUUUCGGCGGUUGGGGAUGGACUCGCGGCUUAUCAGCUUGUUGGUGGGGUAGUGGCUCACCAAGGCUUUGACGGGUAGCCGGCCUGAGAGGGUGACCGGCCACAUUGGGACUGAGAUACGGCCCAGACUCCUACGGGAGGCAGCAGUGGGGAAUAUUGCACAAUGGGCGGAAGCCUGAUGCAGCAACGCCGCGUGCGGGAUGACGGCCUUCGGGUUGUAAACCGCUUUCGCCUGUGACGAAGCGUGAGUGACGGUAAUGGGGAAAGAAACACCGGCUAACUACGU
rnacentral:rRNA from 1 species